rnacentral:tRNA from 1 species
GGAGAGUUCGCAUAGUGGUCUAGUGCGCCCGCUUGGAGAGCGGGUGUGUCGCAAGGCACCGAGGGUUCGAAUCCCUCACUCUCCGCCA